rnacentral:rRNA from 1 species
UUAAUUCGAUGCAACGCGAAGAACCUUACCUGGGUUUGACAUCACUCAAAAAGCCGUAGAGAUACGGUGUCCUUCGGGGUGGGUGACAGGUGGUGCAUGGCUGUCGUCAGCUCGUGUCGUGAGAUGUUGGGUUAAGUCCCGCAACGAGCGCAACCCUCGUUCGAUGUUGCCAGCGGUUCGGCCGGGGACUCAUCGAAGACUGCCGGGGUCAACUCGGAGGAAGGUGGGGAUGACGUCAAGUCAUCAUGCCCCUUAUGUCCAGGGCUUCACGCAUGCUACAAUGGCCGGUACAAAGGGCUGCGAUGCCGUAAGGUGGAGCGAAUCCCAAAAAGCCGGUCUCAGUUCGGAUCGGGGUCUGCAACUCGACCCCGUGAAGUCGGAGUCGCUAGUAAUCGCAGAUCAGCAUUGCUGCGGUGAAUACGUUCCCGGGCCUUGUACACACCGCCCGUC